rnacentral:lncRNA from 10 species
UUCUUGUUGCCCAGGCUGGAGUGCAAUGGCUUGAUCUCAGCUCACCGCAACCUCUGCCUCCUGGGUUCAAGCGAUUCUCCUGCCUCCGCCACCCUAGUAGCUGGGAUUACAGAUGCUCUACCCAUGGUACCCCAGGACCAGAAGGCAACCAUAUUUCAGAUUUACCACUUCUAGACAGUCCCAAUCCCUGGCUAUCUUCUUCAGUGACUGCUCCAUCCAUGGUAGCCCCAGUCACUUUUGCAUCUAUUGUAGAAGAAGAACUACAACAAGAAGCAGCUCUUAUUAGAAGUCGAGAAAAACCGUUGGCUCUGAUUCAGAUUGAGGAGCAUGCCAUACAAGAUUUAUUGGUUUUCUAUGAGGCAUUUGGCAACCCUGAAGAGUUUGUCAUUGUUGAAAGGACACCGCAGGGACCACUGGCAGUACCUAUGUGGAAUAAGCAUGGAUGCUAGUUCACUGUGGAGUUGAGAUGCAUUUUACAUAAUUAUGAGUUUGUUCAUAUAAAGAAAAGCUGUGGAAAAGAGUCUUAGAGAUUUUGUAAUAUCAUUCUAAAUAGAUUAAGAAAAGAUAUAAUUUCUUUACUGCAGUUAAAUCAUAUAAUGUUUGUAUGAUUAAAAAUAAAUUUCUCAGAAUUGUGAUUUUAGUAACUUUAUAUAAAAUGUGUGAGACAAAAACUUAUUAAGGUUAAAUAGAAUUGUUUCUUCUGAAUAAUCUAACAAAGGAAAAUAUAAGUGAUUGAAUCAUAAGAUAUAAGGGGGGUAAAGUAUUAAAAAUAACUUUUUUGUUUGAUAACUUGAGAAUUUAGAAGAUUUUGCCAAGUAUGUGUUGUUGCUUGACUUCUUAAAUAUGGCAUUGAUGAAUUUAAAGUAGGAGCAUCAGUUAUUACUUCUGAUUCAUUAAUGGCCAGAAUUUUGUGUUUGGUGUAAUAGUUGUGUCACCAUUCUUGUUGCUUUUUAAAAAUCAGGCUAAUCAUGUGGUCCAUGUCUCUUCAAAGCUUGACCUGCACAAAUGCCAUAUUUCUAUUUGGACCACAUAUUCUCCAUUUUGCAUUGAGCAGUAGAGUACAGUGGAAAGGGAAUAAGAAUACUGAUUAUUCUGAACAGUUUAGUCCCAAGAGAAUAGCGUUUUAAAAAAGAAAAACAAGAUUUGGAGUCAUUGUGGGUUAUUUUUGGUGGGAUGGAGGAUCUUAAAAAUGCCUAAUUGUGAGAGAAUCAAUUGCUGAAAGUGUUAAAAUUUCUGAAAAUAAAUGCUUAAUUACAUAUACAGGAAUUAAAUAGUUUGGAAGAGGGUUGGAUUAUCAUUACCUUUACAAUACUGUAUAAUCAGAAGUUCUCUGAACCUCAAUUGUAUAUCUAGACAUAAAAAUUGUUUUCUGUAUAGGAUGUUGUUUGGUUUGUUUCUGAGUGUUUAAAUUUUGCAAAAACAAAUGUUAAAUUUGUGCUUCAGUACCUAGAUAAAUUGGAAAGGUUAAUGUUCUAGUUUCUGGAAGGUAAGCCUGGGAGACACAUAAGCAAUUCACUGCUAUAAUUUAGUUGAUGUAAAAUGACGGAAACUGACUCAAUAUGUCAGGUUUAACUCUGCCCAAAAGCAGCAGACAUGUAAGCAGAUGUGCAAUAAAAAAUGAUCUUGAUCCAUUUCA